GUUCGAUUUACAAAUUCACCAGAUUUCUUAAUCUAUUUGCCCUGAUUCACAAAAUGAUUUUAACUCAAUCCGUAUACACUAAAAGAGAAAUAUAUUACCGUUUCAAAAACUUGUACAAAUCUCAAGAUACAUUGAACAGGAC